GACGAACGCUCGCGGCGUGCUUAACACAUGCAAGUCGAGCGGAGCGGCGAACGGGUGAGUAACGCGUGAGCAACUUCCCACCUCUCUGGGAUAACAGUUUGCAAAGGCUGCUAAUCCCGGAUAGUGGGGGAUGACCCGAGUCCUCUCAGCUUGUUGGUGGGGUAGUGGCCUACGAAGGCGACGACGGGUAGCCGGCCUGAGAGGGCGACCGGCUACAUUGGGAUGGGAUACGGGCCUAACGCCGACGGGAGGCAGCAGUGGGGAAGAUUGCACGAGGGGGGAAACGCGGAUGGAGGAAGGCGGGGGGGGGGGGACGGCCUUCGGGUUGGAAACCGCUUUCAGCGAUGAGGCGGUAGUGGCAGAAGAAGCACCGGCGAACUACGUGGCAGCAGCCGCGGUAAUUC
rnacentral:rRNA from 1 species